CCCCGACCCUCUCCCCGUAAGAACGGGGCGAGGGAGAUAUCACUUUCCCGGCGCGAUGCCCUUGAACGACAGCCGCAGCGCGGCUUCGACGCGCGGAUCGUNCAUGCCGUCGCUGAUCAGCGACGCGACGCCGUGCGCGACGGCCCAGGCCAGCGCCAGCGUAUCCGGAUCGGUCGGCUUGCCGGGAUCGGCCUGAACCCCCGCAACCGCGAUCCGCAAUUGCUCGAAUGAAUCUGGAAUGCCGUCGACUUCAGCGUGGCUGUUCGAGCC
rnacentral:misc_RNA from 1 species